AACGAACGCUGGCGGCAUGCCUAACACAUGCAAGUCGAACGAGACCUUCGGGUCUAGUGGCGCACGGGUGCGUAACGCGUGGGAACCUGCCCUUAGGUUCGGAAUAACUCCCCGAAAGGGGUGCUAAUACCGGAUAAUGUCUUCGGACCAAAGAUUUAUCGCCUUUGGAUGGGCCCGCGUUGGAUUAGCUAGUUGGUAGGGUAAAAGCCUACCACGGCGACGAUCCAUAGCUGGUUUGAGAGGAUGAUCAGCCACACUGGGACUGAGGCACGGCCCAGACUCCUACGGGAGGCAGCAGUGGGGAAUAUUGGACAAUGGGCGAAAGCCUGAUCCAGCAAUGCCGCGUGAGUGAUGAAGGCCUUAGGGUUGUAAAGCUCUUUUACCCGGGAUGAUAAUGACAGUACCGGGAGAAUAAGCUCCGGCUAACUCCGUG
rnacentral:rRNA from 1 species